rnacentral:rRNA from 1 species
CUACGGGACGCAGCAGUGGGGAAUAUUGGGCAAUGGGGGAAACCCUGACCCAGCAACGCCGCGUGAAGGAUGAAGGCUUUCGGGUUGUAAACUUCUUUGAUCGGGGAAGAACCAAGACGGUACCCGAGGAACAAGCCACGGCUAACUACGUGCCAGCAGCCGCGGUAAUACGUAGGUGGCAAGCGUUGUCCGGAAUUACUGGGUGUAAAGGGCGCGUAGGCGGGAAGGCAAGUCAGAAGUGAAAUCCCGGGGCUCAACCCCGGAACUGCUUCUGAAACUGUUUUUCUUGAGUGUCGGAGAGGAAAGUGGAAUUCCCAGUGUAGCGGUGAAAUGCGUAGAGAUUGGGAGGAACACCAGUGGCGAAGGCGGCUUUCUGGACGAUAACUGACGCUGAGGCGCGAAAGCGUGGGGAGCAAACAGGAUUAGAUACCCGUGUAGUC